GCCAACGGCCAUACCAUGAUGUGAUACACCGGUUCUCGUCCGAUCACCGAAGUUAAGCAUCCAUUGGGCCCAGUUAGUACUUGGAUGGGUGACCACCUGGGAAACCUGGGUGCUGUUGGCU